rnacentral:tRNA from 1 species
UCCUCGUUAGCUCAGUUGGUUAGAGCACCUGACUGUUAAUCAGGGGGUCCUAGGUUCAAGUCCUAGACGGGGAGCAA